CUUUUUUGUCUGAGCUGAGACUUAAAGCACAGGGGCACAAACGCUGAUAUUCCAUCUCAUCUAAGUCCUCCUCUCGGAACCUCCAAACUGGUCGAAGACCACUUACUCUAAACAUCACAGCUAAUGCUGAAGAGUAUGGAGCCUACAUAGAUGCUAAGAAGAUGGCUCCACUGGUGUCAUUGAUCGCAUCAAAAAUUCAAGGCUUACAGAAACACUAGAGGGCUAAUUGGUAGCAGAACAUUUCAGACUUAAUCUUAAUGCAGUCUUAAUCUUCUGCAUUAAACCUACCGAAGGUUUCCUCUUGCAGCAGACAAGGGGAAGUUUAGUGCCUCGGCGAAAAACACCUGGUGAGAGCAUUCAAGAACAUUGCAGUACAUGGACUACAAACCUGAAAAUGUCACUAAACAAACUGUCAGAAAAUAAGAGCAAUCCGUUCAGAGCCUGCACCACUGGAAUGCUCCUGGCUUUCCCUUGCUAUCGCUUCUUUCUCCACCAAGCCAGGCUUGCUUAUGGGUUUUAGAAACAAAGCUGUGAAGGGAAAAUCCCCAUAAUUCUAAAGCAUGUGCUACCCUGGAAUUUGAUAAUUUUCCAAUGUUGCAAUAGGAGGGAUUCCUCUGCAGAAACUCAGAAUGAACAUCCUGUUUGAAUAAAUGACUUUAAACAACAAGCUUAGGGUUGCUGGUAUAGGGCCAGCAAGUCCAGAGACUGUGUACAACCGGGUGUAUG